CCUACGGGAGGCAGCAGUAGGGAAUUGUUCGCAAUGGGCGAAAGCCUGACGACGCAACGCCGCGUGGAGGACGAAGACCUUCGGGUCGUAAACUCCUGUCGGAGGGGACGAAAGUGGCUGAGAUCAAUACCCUCAGCUAUUGACGGUACCCUAAGAGGAAGCCCCGGCUAACUCCGUGCCAGCAGCCGCGGU
rnacentral:rRNA from 1 species